AACUGCUCGAGCCAUAAGCGUUUGGCAAGGUAACUUAUAAACAAUCAGUGAUGAAGAGUAUAGCUAUAUUGACUGCCACUCUAUGUAACAAUCCUUAUAAAUUUACUUAGGAAAUAUUUAGUGAUUCGGUUGGAAUCAAUGUGUUAAUACUUUAACAGGUCGUGGGGAGAAUCAUUGUGCUCUGCUCACCUGCAAUCUUAACCUGGAGUUCUGGGCAUCCCGGGCCAUGUCGUGAGAAGCAAUUAUAAGGUAAGGAUGACCAUAUUUCUACCGUACAGAUUAAAGCCUCAUUUAUCAUAAUGUUAGAUUUUGUAUGUUCAUAGACAAAGUUACAUAAUAACACCAACAAGCGAAGCAGGUAAUUUGUAAUUACUGAGUUAUAAUUUAUAUUGAACUAAGGCAUAAGCUAUAGUGUUGAAAGAUCUCAUAAAUUCCACUAUUAAUUUUAUCAUAAAUAAAAUGUGUGCCAAAUUCAUCCCCGUUGGUACAUAUUUAUGGUGUAGAUGCGAGGGAUUCAUUAUUUAAGAAGGAGUAAAUAAUAAUAAGAGGUUUCUGUACGGUGAAUGUAGUCAUCCUAUCUUAAAAAAGCAGUAAAAUAUAAAAUUAAAUGAGAAAUUAGGAUCACGGUGGCGACAUCUGUGGAGGAAUAGACUAAACUUGAUUGAUCACUGAAACUAGAAACAGGAUCACGGUGGCGACAUCUGUAGAGGAAUAGACUAAACUUGAUUGAUCACUGAAACUAGCUAUAUUAUGAUAAUAAGGCACGAUUUCAGGAUAAUUUACGUCAGUAAGCAGACGGGCAGCUAUUUUUAAUAAAGAAAUGUUGUUGUAUUUUAUUUCACAAACCCCUUUAGUAUUAAAUACCACAUAAAAUUUAAGUUAGCUUGUUCUAGAACCCGAGAGCAGUUCGGUAAGUGAAAUUUACAGGUAGUUCAUCUAGUGAUUGACAGAUGGCGUUUUUAGCAUAAAAUCUAAAAGUGACAGCUAUUCCACCACAGAUGGCGUGGUGAACUGAUUUUGUACUUGAAUCGGAAUCGUACAAAAAAUUUAUUUGAAUAAUAUUUUCAUAAUUUUGUUAAUUAGUCAUGAAAUUCUUAUGAAUAAUUAAUAGAGAAUAACUUAAAGAGUAAGUCAAAACGGAAACAUAUUGCGAAAUUCAUUAUUCGUUCCACAGACAACAUAACUAUACAUCAUCUAUACAUCAACAACGUAGUGACAUUUUGCAAGUUUGCUACAACCAAGUACGAGUUAAAAAGCCGGCUAUUUUGCGAAUAAACAUUCACAACUAGCUUAAAUAAGGCGAAAUCACAAGAGGAAUUCAGUGAUUUACGAAAGAAAAGUGUUAUUUGAUGGGACGAUCUGUUAGUUCAUCAGGUACUACGUCAAGGUUAUAAGUGGAUAUCACAAGCAACAUAGCUACACUAUUGCUCAAUUGAGAGGAAAACAUAUUGCUCCAUCAUUAAAGGAUAUUUAACAGAGGAAACUAAAGUUCUAUAACGGGCCAGACUCAGUGCACAACAACACUUCCUAAUAAUAAAGAUGGAAGAGAUAUAUUUGACGAGGUUAAACAAAUUUGUGUCGGAAAUAAAGAAUCUAUCCAACAACUCAAGGAUCCUCAUUUUGUUAAAAUCAUGGAACGAUGAAGAAUAUGAACAAGCCAAGAUUGCUUCGGCAAAAUUACAAGCCGUAAUAACAAGAUUUAAUACCGAACUAUAUCAGUACUUUAAAAUAGUAACAAAUCCAA